rnacentral:misc_RNA from 1 species
GAUGAAGAACGCAGCGAAAUGCGAUAAGUAGUGUGAAUUGCAGAAUUCAGUGAAUCAUCGAAUCUUUGAACGCACAUUGCGCCCCUUGGUAUUCCAUGGGGAAUGCCUGUUCGAGCGUCAUUUGUACCUUCAAGCUCUGCUUGGUGUUGGGUGUUUGUCUCGCCUCUGCGUGUAGACUCGCCUCAAAACAAUUGGCAGCCGGCGUAUUGAUUUCGGAGCGCAGUACAUCUCGCGCUUUGCACUCAUAACGACGACGUCCAAAAGUACAUUUUUACACUCUUGACCUCGGAUCAGGUAGGGAUACCCGCUGAACUUAAGCAUAUCAAUAAGCGGAGGA